rnacentral:rRNA from 1 species
UGGGGAAUUUUGGACAAUGGGCGAANGCCUGAUCCAGCAAUGCCGCGUGCAGGAUGAAGGCCCUCGGGUUGUAAACUGCUUUUGUACGGAACGAAAAGCCUGGGGCUAAUAUCCCCGGGUCAUGACGGUACCGUAAGAAUAAGCACCGGCUAACUACGUGCCAGCAGCCGCGGUAAUACGUAGGGUGCAAGCGUUAAUCGGAAUUACUGGGCGUAAAGCGUGCGCAGGCGGUUUUGUAAGACAGUGGUGAAAUCCCCGGGCUCAACCUGGGAACUGCCAUUGUGACUGCAAAGCUAGAGUGCGGCAGAGGGGGAUGGAAUUCCGCGUGUAGCAGUGAAAUGCGUAGAUAUGCGGAGGAACACCGAUGGCGAAGGCAAUCCCCUGGGCCUGCACUGACGCUCAUGCACGAAAGCGUGGGGAGCAAACAGGAUUAGAUACCCUGGUAGUCCACGCCCUAAACGAUGUCAACUGGUUGUUGGGUCUUAACUGACUCAGUAACGAAGCUAACGCGUGAAGUUGACCGCCUGGGGAGUACGGCCGCAAGGUUA